rnacentral:rRNA from 1 species
UAAGUUAAUAAGGGCGCACGGUGGAUGCCUUGGCACUAGGAGCCGACGAAGGACGUGACAAACGACGAUAUGCCUUGGGUAGCUGUAAGUAAGCGAUGAUCCAGGGAUUUCCGAAUGGGGGAACCCAACAGGUAAUACCUGUUACCUACAUCUGUUAAGGAUGUGAGGAGGAAGACGCAGUGAACUGAAACAUCUAAGUAGCUGCAGGAAGAGAAAGCAAAAGCGAUUGCCUUAGUAGCGGCGAGCGAAACGGCAGAAGGGCAAACCGAAGAGUUUACUCUUCGGGGUUGUAGGACUGCAAUGUGGACUCAAAGAUUAUAGAAGAAUGAUUUGGGAAGAUCAGCCAAAGAGAGUAAUAGCCUCGUAUUUAAAAUAGUCUUUGUACCUAGCAGUAUCCUGAGUACGGCGGGACACGUGAAAUCCCGUCGGAAUCUGGGAGGACCAUCUCCCAACCCUAAAUACUCCCUAGUGACCGAUAGUGAACCAGUACCGUGAGGGAAAGGUGAAAAGCACCCCGGGAGGGGAGUGAAAUAGAACCUGAAACCGUGUGCCUACAACAAGUUCGAGCCCGUUAAUGGGUGAGAGCGUGCCUUUUGUAGAAUGAACCGGCGAGUUACGUUAUGAUGCGAGGUUAAGUUGAAGAGACGGAGCCGUAGGGAAACCGAGUCUGAAUAGGGCGCCUUAGUAUCAUGACGUAGACCCGAAACCAUGUGACCUACCCAUGAGCAGGUUGAAGGUGCGGUAAGACGCACUGGAGGACCGAACCAGGGCACGUUGAAAAGUGCUUGGAUGACUUGUGGGUAGCGGAGAAAUUCCAAACGAACUUGGAGAUAGCUGGUUCUCUCCGAAAUAGCUUUAGGGCUAGCGUCGACAUUAGAGAUUCUUGGAGGUAGAGCACUGUUUGGGUGAGGGGUCCAUCCCGGAUUACCAAUCUCAGAUAAACUCCGAAUGCCAAUGAAUUAUGGUCGGCAGUCAGACUGCGAGUGCUAAGAUCCGUAGUCGAAAGGGAAACAGCCCAGACCACCAGCUAAGGUCCCAAAAUAAUUGUUAAGUGGAAAAGGAUGUGGGGUUGCACAGACAACUAGGAUGUUAGCUUAGAAGCAGCUAUUCAUUCAAAGAGUGCGUAAUAGCUCACUAGUCGAGUGACCCUGCGCCGAAAAUGUACCGGGGCUAAAACAAUUUACCGAAGCUGUGGAUACCUUUAUAGGUAUGGUAGGAGAGCGUUCUAUGUGUGAUGAAGGUAUACCGUGAGGAGUGCUGGAACGCAUAGAAGUGAGAAUGCCGGUAUGAGUAGCGAAAGACAGGUGAGAAUCCUGUCCACCGUAAGACUAAGGUUUCCAGGGGAAGGCUCGUCCGCCCUGGGUUAGUCGGGACCUAAGGAGAGACCGAAAGGUGUAUCCGAUGGACAACAGGUUGAUAUUCCUGUACUAGAGUAUGUAGUGAUGGAGGGACGCAGUAGGCUAACUAAAGCAGACGAUUGGAAGAGUCUGUCUAAGCAGUGAGGUGUGAAUUGAGUCAAAUGCUUAAUUCUAUAACAUUGAGCUGUGAUGGGGAGCGAAGUUUAGUAGCGAAGUUAGUGACGUCACACUGCCAAGAAAAGCUUCUAGCGUUUAAACAUACUCUACCCGUACCGCAAACCGACACAGGUAGUCGAGGCGAGUAGCCUCAGGUGAGCGAGAGAACUCUCGUUAAGGAACUCGGCAAAAUGACCCCGUAACUUCGGGAGAAGGGGUGCUGACUUAAAGUCAGCCGCAGUGAAUAGGCCCAAGCAACUGUUUAUCAAAAACACAGCUCUCUGCUAAAUCGUAAGAUGAUGUAUAGGGGGUGACGCCUGCCCGGUGCUGGAAGGUUAAGAGGAGUGCUUAGCGUAAGCGAAGGUAUGAAUUGAAGCCCCAGUAAACGGCGGCCGUAACUAUAACGGUCCUAAGGUAGCGAAAUUCCUUGUCGGGUAAGUUCCGACCCGCACGAAAGGCGUAAUGAUUUGGGCACUGUCUCAACGAGAGACUCGGUGAAAUUUUAGUACCUGUGAAGAUGCAGGUUACCCGCGACAGGACGGAAAGACCCCAUGGAGCUUUACUGCAGUUUGAUAUUGAGUGUCUGUACCACAUGUACAGGAUAGGUAGGAGUCUAAGAAAUCGGGACGCCAGUUUCGAAGGAGACGCUGUUGGGAUACUACCCUUGUGUUAUGGCCACUCUAACCCAGAUAGGUGAUCCCUAUCGGAGACAGUGUCUGACGGGCAGUUUGACUGGGGCGGUCGCCUCCUAAAAGGUAACGGAGGCGCCCAAAGGUUCCCUCAGAAUGGUUGGAAAUCAUUCGCAGAGUGUAAAGGUAUAAGGGAGCUUGACUGCGAGAGCUACAACUCGAGCAGGGACGAAAGUCGGGCUUAGUGAUCCGGUGGUUCCGUAUGGAAGGGCCAUCGCUCAACGGAUAAAAGCUACCCUGGGGAUAACAGGCUUAUCUCCCCCAAGAGUUCACAUCGACGGGGAGGUUUGGCACCUCGAUGUCGGCUCGUCGCAUCCUGGGGCUGUAGUCGGUCCCAAGGGUUGGGCUGUUCGCCCAUUAAAGCGGCACGCGAGCUGGGUUCAGAACGUCGUGAGACAGUUCGGUCCCUAUCCGUCGCGGGCGUAGGAAAUUUGAGAGGAUCUGCUCCUAGUACGAGAGGACCAGAGUGGACUUACCGCUGGUGUACCAGUUGUCUUGCCAAAGGCAUCGCUGGGUAGCUAUGUAGGGAAGGGAUAAACGCUGAAAGCAUCUAAGUGUGAAACCCACCUCAAGAUGAGAUUUCCCAUGAUUAUAUAUCAGUAAGAGCCCUGAGAGAUGAUCAGGUAGAUAGGUUAGAAGUGGAAGUGUGGCGACACAUGUAGCGGACUAAUACUAAUAGCUCGAGGACUUAUCCA